GACGAACGCUGGCGGCGUGCUUAACACAUGCAAGUCGAACGGAAAGGCCCUGCUUUUGUGGGGUGCUCGAGUGGCGAACGGGUGAGUAACACGUGAGUAACCUGCCCUUGACUUUGGGAUAACUUCAGGAAACUGGGGCUAAUACCGGAUAGGAGCUCCUGCUGCAUGGUGGGGGUUGGAAAGUUUCGGCGGUUGGGGAUGGACUCGCGGCUUAUCAGCUUGUUGGUGGGGUAGUGGCUUACCAAGGCUUUGACGGGUAGCCGGCCUGAGAGGGUGACCGGCCACAUUGGGACUGAGAUACGGCUCAGACUCCUACGGGAGGCAGCAGUGGGGAAUAUUGCACAAUGGGCGGAAGCCUGAUGCAGCAACGCCGCGUGCGGGAUGACGGCCUUCGGGUUGUAAACCGCUUUCGCCUGUGACGAAGCGUGAAUGACGGUAAUGGGUAAAGAAGCACCGGCUAACUACGUG
rnacentral:rRNA from 1 species